rnacentral:rRNA from 1 species
GACGAACGCUGGCGGCGUGCUUAACGCAUGCAAGUCGAGCGGUAAGGCCCUUUCGGGGUACGACGAGCGGCGAACGGGUGAGUAACACGUGGGUGACCUGCCCUCAGCUCUGGGAGUAAGCCUGGGAAACGUGGGUCUAAUAACUGGAUAUGACUCCACGGUGCAUGUCGUGGGGUGGAAAGCCUUGUGCGGCUGAGGAUGGGCCCGCGGCCUAUCAGCUUGUUGGUGGGGUGAUGGCCUACCAAGGCGACGACGGGUAGCCGGCCUGAGAGGGCGACCGGCCACACUGGGACUGAGACGCGGCCCAGACUCCUACGGGAGGCAGCAGUGGGGAAGUCUUGCGCAAUGGGCGAAAGCCUGAC